rnacentral:rRNA from 1 species
AGCUCCAAUAGCGUAUAUUAAAGUUGCUGCAGUUAAAAAGCUCGUAGUUGGAUUUCUGGUUUGAUGUACCUGUCCCUUGACGGUAACGUCAGUGUGUGACGGAGUAUGUCUGCCAUCCUUCUAGAGAAUGCAGGCUACCCUUUACUGGGCCGGUCUGCAUCAUCUAGAUCUUUUACUUUGAAAAAAUUAGAGUGUUUCAAGCAGGCGUUACCGCUAUGAAUACAUUAGCAUGGAAUAAUAAACUAGGACUUCGGUUCUAUUUUGUUGGUUUCUAGGACUGAAGUAAUGAUUGAUAGGGACAGUUGGGGGUGCUAGUAUUCGGCGGCCAGAGGUGAAAUUCUUGGAUUCGCUGAAGACUAACUUAUGCGAAAGCAUUCACCAAGGAUGUCUUCU